GGUGUGACUGCGUACCUUUUGUAUAAUGGGUCAGCGACUUAUAUUCUGUAGCAAGGUUAACCGUAUAGGGGAGCCGCAGGGAAACCGAGUCUUAACUGGGCGUUAAGUUGCAGGGUAUAGACCCGAAACCCGGUGAUCUAGCCAUGGGCAGGUUGAAGGUUGGGUAACACUAACUGGAGGACCGAACCGACUAAUGUUGAAAAAUUAGCGGAUGACUUGUGGCUGGGGGUGAAAGGCCAAUCAAACCGGGAGAUAGCUGGUUCUCCCCGAAAGCUAUUUAGGUAGCGCCUCGUGAACUCAUCUUCGGGGGUAGAGCACUGUUUCGGCUAGGGGGGUCAUCCCGACUUACCAACCCGAUGCAAACUACGAAUACCGAAGAAUGUUAUCACGGGAGACACACGGCGGGUGCUAACGUCCGUCGUGAAGAGGG
rnacentral:rRNA from 1 species